CCCUUAGAUGUUCUGGGCUGCACGCGCGCUACACUGAAGCUAUCAACACGUUUUCCCUCCCUGAGAAGGGCGGGUAACCUUUUGAAUCAGCUUCGUUGUAGGGAUCGGGGCUUGCAAUUGUUCCCCGUGAACCAGGAAUUCCUAGUAGACGCGAGUCAUAAGCUCGCAUCGAUUAAGUCCCUGCCCUUUGUACACACCGCCCGUCGCUACUACCGAUUGAACGUUUUAGUGAGGCAUUUGGACCGACGCAUCUCAGUUUAACCGCUGGUUUGUGUUGGAAAGACUUCCAAACUUGAGCGUUUAGAGGAAGUAAAAGUCGUAACA
rnacentral:rRNA from 1 species